GAUGAACGCUGGCGGCGUGCCUAAUACAUGCAAGUCGAGCGAACAGACGAGGAGCUUGCUCCUCUGACGUUAGCGGCGGACGGGUGAGUAACACGUGGAUAACCUACCUAUAAGACUGGGAUAACUUCGGGAAACCGGAGCUAAUACCGGAUAAUAUAUUGAACCGCAUGGUUCAAUAGUGAAAGACGGUUUUGCUGUCACUUAUAGAUGGAUCCGCGCCGCAUUAGCUAGUUGGUAAGGUAACGGCUUACCAAGGCGACGAUGCGUAGCCGACCUGAGAGGGUGAUCGGCCACACUGGAACUGAGACACGGUCCAGACUCCUACGGGAGGCAGCAGUAGGGAAUCUUCCGCAAGGGGCGAAAGCCUGACGGAGCAACGCCGCGUGAGUGAUGAAGGUCUUCGGAUCGUAAAACUCUGUUAUUAGGGAAGAACAAAUGUGUAAGUAACUAUGCACGUCUUGACGGUACCUAAGCAGAAAGCCACGGCUAACUACGG
rnacentral:rRNA from 1 species